rnacentral:lncRNA from 1 species
AGAAAGAAAGUAUUGCAAAAUCCGGCAACACCUCCCUUGAAAGUAGCAUAACAAGGGAAACAUAGAGUUUAUACAGGAUAUAAAAGAAAGAUAAUUGACAUAGUAUAACGAAAUGCAAUGGUAGAAAUGAACAUUCAUGACCAGACAAAAGAUAGACAACUCAGCCCACCAAACUAAAUAGUUCAACUACCAUGAAAGAAUAGAACGUAAUAAUCCCCUAGACUUGACCCUCCCUGUUAAACAUCAUUAUUAAGCAGUGGUUCCUUUAUUUAAAAGUGUGGUGGCCGUGCGGCUACAUCCCUUCUUUCCCAAAGCAAAGAUCAGGAGCCUGCAUCAGACAAUGCAAGAGUGAGAUGACACAUCUCAGCAAGUAAAAAACAAACAAACAACAGUUGGACAAUGUAAGCCAACCGCGCAUAAGCAACCACGUGGUUCCCAACUUCUUUCUUAAAUAUUAAUUUGCAGCAAGUAAGCAAGUAAUCAAUUACUCAAUGCCAAGAUGAAUCACAAAGUAAAGAUCCACAUUAUCCACAUCACCAUAAUAGGUUCCACACUUCCCCCAUGAAUGCACAUGGCUAUAGAUGCAGUAUGACUUCUGCCUUCAUACCUCUAAGGAUAUGAAGCUGCAUCAUACCUCUUCUCGGGCAACAUAUGAUGCUCAUUGUACCGGUACGGUCGGACCAUAAGAUCGCGGCUAAACUUCAAUGCAAUGGAUGAUGAAUGCAUUAUGCAUGUCAACAACAUGAGUUCUUCCCAAAUAAAAUAUGCUAGACAUAUACUUCCACCCAUUUCACAUAAUAAACCACAUGGGUAACAUGAUCAAACCACACCCUCCACAUGUAUAAUCAAUAAAACAUGAAUAAUUUCAAACGACGGUACCCAAUUAGGAAUAUGAAUACGAACACAAAUAGCACAAACAUAAUCAAGUAUAAGACUCUUCAAUCAACAGACGGAAUAACCAUCACUGUUUUACUUGCCUUCACUGGAAGUUUGAGCAAAUCCCUAAGUACGAUCCGGAAGUCCACCAUCUGUUUUUGACACACAACUUAGUGCACCAAUUUCACACAAUCAGGCUCAUAAACGACGCCGCACCUACGCACAAUUUCAAACCCCGUUGCGGGUAACAUCUCUCCCCACACCCACCAAACUGCAGCGGCGCUGCUUAAUAAUUUCAUAACUUUAAAAUUAUGACAGAAGUGGUAACAAACAAAAACUCCAAAGGCAUCUACAUAAAAUUCCUCACAAGUUUUGUAUACAAUUUAUAAUUAAAUUCUAACAUCUAAUUAGCCCAACACAGUCCACAAGAUAAACCCUGUAAUCUGUUUUUUUCUCUUUUGGACAGCGACAUACCCGGAUUCAAACAGCGAUAUCUUUUAAAAUAUAAUUCCAAAUCAAGCGCAUAAGUACUCAUUGGAAAGAUAAGACAAAGCCCUACAUGAUUAUUAUACUGGUUAUCACUAAUUACCCACGAAAAAUUCCCAGAAACUGCUAAUACUACUGCUGUUCUCCCACCUGAAAAAUCUGUUUUUUUGACAGCUACAUACCUGGAUUCAAACAACUAUAUCUCCUAAAUUAUAACUCCGAAUCGAGCGCAUAAGUACUCGUUGGAAAGGUAUGACAAAGCUCUACAUGAUUAUCCCACUGAUUCCCACUAAUUAACCCACAAAAAUUCCCCGAAAUCCCUAGAACUACUGCUGUCCACCCACUCACAAAAUUCUUGGACAGCACCUCUACCGAUUCACAAAGAUAAACACAUAAUCCAAUUGAUUGCAGCACAAAAACAACAAAAGUUAAACACAAAUUCACCUUGGGUUCUUCCCUUCCUCCUUCCUUCUUCCUCCCUCCAAACUCCAAUUGAGAUCGCAGCCACACGACGGAGAACCACGCGGGAGGGCUGCACCUUGGAGGGGGGGAAGAGAAAUGGGGGGGGGAUAGGGUUUUGGGUGGUGAGGGCUGCAAAGGUUUGAGGAGGAAGAAGAUGGGAGAGGGGGG